rnacentral:rRNA from 1 species
UACAGAGGGUGCAAGCGUUGCUCGGAAUUAUUGGGCGUAAAGCGCGUGUAGGCGGCUUGGCAAGUCAGAUGUGAAAGCCCUCGGCUUAACCGAGGAAGUGCGUCUGAAACUGCUGAGCUUGAGUCUCGGAGAGGAUGGCGGAAUUCCGCAAGUAGAGGUGAAAUUCGUAGAUAUGCGGAGGAACACCGGUGGCGAAGGCGGCCAUCUGGACGAGUACUGACGCUGAGACGCGAAAGCGUGGGGAGCAAACAGG